rnacentral:rRNA from 1 species
UAGUUGGGGAUAACUCCGGGAAACCGGAGCUAAUACCGAAUGAUACAAUUUAACUCCUGUUAGAUUGUUGAAAGAUGGUUUCGGCUAUCGCUAUAGGAUGGGCCCGCGGCGCAUUAGCUAGUUGGUGAGGUAACGGCUCACCAAGGCGACGAUGCGUAGCCGACCUGAGAGGGUGAUCGGCCACACUGGGACUGAGACACGGCCCAGACUCCUACGGGAGGCAGCAGUAGGGAAUCUUCCACAAUGGACGAAAGUCUGAUGGAGCAACGCCGCGUGAGUGAAGAAGGUUUUCGGAUCGUAAAACUCUGUUGUAAGGGAAGAACAAGUACAGUAGUAACUGGCUGUACCUUGACGGUACCUUAUUAGAAAGCCACGGCUAACUACGUGCCAGCAGCCGCGGUAAUACGUAGGUGGCAAGCGUUGUCCGGAUUUA